rnacentral:rRNA from 1 species
UGGAGAGUUUGAUCCUGGCUCAGGACGAACGCUGGCGGCGUGCCUAACACAUGCAAGUCGAACGGAGCCAGGGGCAACUCUGGCUCAGUGGCGGACGGGUGCGUAACACGUGAGGAACAUGACCAUCGGCGGGGGAUAGCCGGCCCAACGGCCGGGUAAUACCGCGUACGACAACCGGGUCACCUGGCCUGGUUGUGAAAGCAGCAAUGCACCGAUGGAGUGCCUCGCGGCCUAUCAGCUAGUUGGUGGGGUAACGGCUCACCAAGGCGACGACGGGUAGCUGGUCUGAGAGGAUGGCCAGCCACAUUGGGACUGAGACACGGCCCAGACUCCUACGGGAGGCAGCAGUGGGGAAUCUUGCGCAAUGGGCGAAAGCCUGACGCAGCGACGCCGCGUGUGGGAUGACGGCCUUCGGGUUGUAAACCACUGUCGGGAGGGACGAAUAACUGACGGUACCUCCAAAGGAAGCACCGGCUAACUCCGUGCCAGCAGCCGCGGUAAUACGGAGGGUGCAAGCGUUGUCCGGAAUCACUGGGCGUAAAGGGCGCGUAGGCGGCCUGGUAAGUAGGGGGUGAAAUCCUGCGGCUCAACCGCAGGGCUGCCUUCUAAACUGUCAGGCUUGAGCACAGUAGAGG